rnacentral:rRNA from 1 species
CCAUAUGCUUGUCUCAAAGAUUAAGCCAUGCAGGUCUCAGUACGGCCUCCAGCGAAAAGGCGAAACCGCGAAUGGCUCAUUAAAUCAGUUAUGGUUCCUUAGAGACGUAUCCGCAACAGUGGAUAACCGUGGUAAUUCUAGAGCUAAUACAUGCAAACGAAGCUCCAGCCCCGCGCGGCGGAAGAGCCCCCCAACCGGGGUUCCACGCUGCCGGGGACGAGCGCUUUUAUUAGACCGCAACGACCGCAUCCUUCCUCCGUCCCUUCGCGGGGGCGGGGGACGUGUUGCGUGGUGACUCUGGAUAAACCUGGCAGAUCGGCCGGUGGCCCUCGUCCGCGGGGGCCGUCGCAAGCCGGCCGACGCAACUUUCAAGUGUCUGACUUAUCAACUUUCGACGGCGAGCUAAACGCCAGCCGUGGUGACGACGGGUGACGGGGAAUCAGGGUUCGAUUCCGGAGAGGAAGCCUGAGAAACGGCUACCACAUCCAAGGAAGGCAGCAGGCUCGCAAAUUACCCACUCCCGGCACGGGGAGGUAGUGACGAAAAAUAACGAUGCGGGACUCGGUCGAGACCCCGCCAUCGGAAUGAGUGGACUGUAAAAAGUUCGCACGAGGAACGACCGGAGGGCAAGUCUGGUGCCAGCCGCUGCGGUAAUUCCAGCUCCGGUAGCAUAUGCUAAAGUUGCUGCGGUUAAAAAGCUCGUAGUUGGAUCUCAGUCUCGGCCGUCCGGUCCCGCCCGCGUCGGCGGGACUCGUUGGCGCCUGCCGGUCAUAACUGUCGGCCGCCCGGGAUGAUCUUGACCGGUUGUCUCGGAACGGUCCGGCGAGUUUACCUUGAAAAAAUCGGAGUGCUCAGAGCGCGGCGUUAAAGAAGCCGCCCGUACGUCGUCGCAUGGAAUAAUGGAAGAAGACCUCGGUCCGAAUGUUUUUACUCAGCGGCUCGGACCCCUGAGGUAAUGGUCAACGGGAGCGGCCGGGGGCGAUCGUAUCGCGACGCUAGAGGUGAAAUUCUUGGACCGUCGCGAGACGAACUACAGCGAAAGCAUUCGUCAAGAGCGCUUCCGUUAAUCAAGAACGAAAGUCAGAGGUUCGAAGGCGAUCAGAUACCGCCCUAGUUUUGACCGUAAACGAUGCCGACCAGCGAUCGGGCUGCGCUCGCCACGACGAGGCGCCCGGAAGCUUACCGGGAAACCAGAGUGUCUGGGUUCCGGGGGAAGUAUGGUUGCAAAGCUGAAACUUAAAGGAAUUGACGGAAGGGCACCACCAGGAGUGGAGCCUGCGGCUUAAUUUGACUCAACACGGGAAAACUCACCCGGCCCGGACACGGGAAGGAUUGACAGACUGAACGAACUUUCUUGAUUCUGUGGGUGGUGGUGCAUGGCCGUUCUUAGUUGGUGGAGCGAUUUGUCUGGUUGAUUCC